rnacentral:rRNA from 1 species
AGCGAACGCUGGCGGCAGGCCUAACACAUGCAAGUCGAACGAACCCUUCGGGGUUAGUGGCGGACGGGUGAGUAACACGUGGGAACGUGCCUUUAGGUUCGGAAUAACUCAGGGAAACUUGUGCUAACACCGAAUGUGCCCUUCGGGGAAAGAUUUAUCGCCUUUAGAGCGGCCCGCGUCUGAUUAGCUAGUUGGUGAGGUAAUGGCUCACCAAGGCUACGAUCAGUAGCUGGUCUGAGAGGAUGACCAGCCACAUUGGGACUGAGACACGGCCCAAACUCCUACGGGAGGCAGCAGUGGGGAAUCUUGCGCAAUGGGCGAAAGCCUGACGCAGCCAUGCCGCGUGGAUGAUGAAGGUCUUAGGAUUGUAAAAUCCUUUCACCGGUAAAGAUAAUGACUGUAGCCGGAGAAGAAGCCCCGGCUAACUUCGUGCCAGCCGCCGCCGUAAGAC